rnacentral:rRNA from 1 species
CCAGACUCCUACGGGAGGCAGCAGUAGGGAAUUUUGCGCAAUGGGCGAAAGCCUGACGCAGCAACGCCGCGUGAUCGAGACGCCCUUCGGGGUGUAAAGAUCUGUCAGUGGGGACGAAACUUGACGGUACCCACAGAGGAAGCACCGGCUAACUCCGUGCCAGCAGCCGCGGUAAUACGGGGGGUGCAAGCGUUGUCCGGAAUCAUUGGGCGUAAAGAGUUCGUAGGCGGCACGUAAAGUCUGGUGUUAAAGGCAGAGGCUCAACUUCUGUACGGCACUGGAUACUUGCGAGCUAGAAUGCGGUAGAGGUAAAGGGAAUUCCUGGUGUAGCGGUGAAAUGCUUAGAUAUCAGGAGGAACAUCAGUGGCGAAGGCGACUAUCUGGCACAUAACUGACGCUGAGGAGCGAAAGCGUGGGUAGCAAACAGGAUUAGAUACCCGUGUA